rnacentral:lncRNA from 1 species
CUAAGGAUGUUUCUCUUUACAGUUCAUCCGGGUCUUUCAACCUUCCCAGCAGAGAUGACUGAUGUGGGAUUUUCAAAUGGACCACAGCUGGUGGUGAAGCAGGGGCAUGAAUGAAGCUGAAGUGAUAAAAAGCAAGACCAUUCCUAAUUCAGUGUCUCUGGCUUCAUAUUAUGAAGCUAUCCUUUUCUUUUUUUUUUCCACAUAGAAAAAAAUCCAGAUUCAAAUUUUCAGGGAACAAUAGAAUCCCUAAUUGUCAGGUCCUUGCUUAGCAUCUGGAUGGCCAUCUUAAGUGACAGCCUCUAUCUUAAGAAAAAGUUUUGCUUUCCCACCCAAGGGUGUUUCUGAGAAAGGUUCACCUCUCCCUUCACACCAACCCAACCCUUAACCACCUGCAUUAGUACCCUUGGGGCUCUAAUCCAUGGCCUGCCUCAUAAAAGUCCCAGAACUCAAACCUGUAUUGCCUCUUUCCAUCUAUAGAGAGAUGACAAAUAAACUCUCAUGUGUAUCUCA